GAUCCUGGCUCAGGACGAACGCUGGCGGCGUGCCUAACACAUGCAAGUUGAACGGAACUUUUUUGUAAAGAUUUCUUCGGAAUGAAUUUGAUUAAGUUUAGUGGCGGACGGGUGAGUAACGCGUGAGUAACCUGCCUCUAAGAUGGGAAUAACAUUCUGAAAAGAAUGCUAAUACCGCAUAAUAUAUAUUUAUCGCAUGGUAGAUAUAUCAAAGAUUUAUCGCUUAGAGAUGGACUCGCGUCCG
rnacentral:rRNA from 1 species